GGAGAGGUCGCAUAGUUUGGCCUAGUGCGCGGCACUGGAAAUGCCGUAGGCGGGCAACCGUCUCGUGGGUUCGAAUCCCACCCUCUCCGCCA
rnacentral:tRNA from 1 species